CCCGACACCGCAUCCACACACCUGCUGAUUCUGACAGAAAAUAUAUCGUGACCAUCUGUUGCUCCAGGAUAAAAGAUGAACUCGGAAUCUAUUCUCCAUUGACUGCAAAUGAGACGGUUUUAUUUUGGAGACCACGUUCUUUCCUGUUUUGUUUUUUUGUGGUGGACUAACUCAGGCUGACUUGACGUAUGAAAACAUUGAGUGCAGAAGUCAUGAUGGGUUAUUGUGCAACAUCUGCUUGGUAAAGUACAAACAACAUACGAUGACCUCAACAAAUGUGAAAGUUACGUGCAAGUAUAACAUUAAGAUUUUCAUAUUAAAUUAGGAUUCUUUACAGAGAAUAUAUAUAAAUUCACUUUGAAGAUGUAAUCACCAAAGGAAUGAAGAUAUUUUGGGAUUUUAUCAUGUUGAUCUGACAAAUGUUUGUCCUGAAACAAAAAAAAAAAUCUAAAAUCUAUACUCAUAAUAUAAGUAUUCUCUAUAAGUAUAUCUUCUCAGAGAGUAUACCCCAUAUCGGAGGUAACUAUUCAGGUGGAACUGACAAACUUUUGUCCUGAAACUAAAAAUGAAAUGAUGCUAAGGCGCCAUCUAGUGAAAACAACAGGAUGUCACAGUUAUUGAAAACGGUGAAAACUUUUUUCGAGACGCAUUCAACUUCCUUAUUGUUGUAGAAAUGGAAAAAACACCCACACAACAACUUCUUAAAAUAAAUCAAAACCUUUCUGUAAAUAUGUGUUAAAGGAGGUGUUUGUGUGCAGAUUCCAUGCAAAAGGAGGAAGUUUCCGCCGAAGCCCGGCGUUGCUUUUGCUGCAACAUUUUCCAUCAUUACAAAACCCGUUUGUGUCCAGUUCACAGCUUUUAAUCCAUUGCAGCGUGAGGCAGUGAGGGAGGGACGUGUCAGGAUGUUUUCCUGAUCUGCUUCUCCCUGGUGAGCCCCGCGUCCUACGAGAACGUCAGAGCCAAGGUACAGCAAGUUGUACAUGAAGAAGUCCAGGACCUAGAGGUUGUCUGCCACGGACCAGAGCACUGACACCAGACGAUCCCCGUCAACAGCGAGAGAAGCAGGUCAGCAGAGGACCAGGACCACUGCCUAAGAGUCGACGACAGCACAGCCUGACCCGUCACUCCUGCUUUGACACUAGAACUAGGAAACCCUGUUUCUUCGUUGUUGUACAAAUGUUGUUCAUGCUAAUCUUAUAAUAUAUACUUGGUAUAUUGUAUGAUGUUCCAAAAAAAUAAACAGGUGUCAUGACA